UGUAAAUACUCGAUGUUAUUUCUUUUCAGACUCUGAGAUAAACCUGCUCAACUCCUCUUUUUUUGAGUAUCUCGAUCGAAUUGAUAUCUCUGACUUGGACACCUUUAUUGGUACGAGUUCCCCGAAUUCUUCACCACCAGUGCUUGUGCGAUCCACAGGAAAGAAUAUUCGUCUCUCCACACGGGACAGAGAGUAUUUGCUCUCUACGCUAGGUCGCCCUGCUUCAUCUGGCCCCAGUUCCAUUCCCGUCGGAGCUUGUUCUCUCCCGCAACCCUCUGGGAAAAACCUGCGCCUGUCCGCGGGGGACAGCCAAGAUUUGCUCUCCGAGCUCACUCCCGAUGCUCCGGCCGAUCGGAGCCCCAGAAACGCUUCUUAUUCUCCGCCAUCAGACACACGAAAUGCACCGCGCCUGCCUUUGAGACCCAAUCACGGGCGUCUCAGAAGGAGGAGUAGCAGGACCCGCAGGAUCGCAAGGACAAGGAGGACAACGCGAACACGCACCCGAAGGCAGCUGGCGU